rnacentral:rRNA from 1 species
UUUUUUCUUAGCGGAGUGGCGGACGGGUGAGUAACACGUGGGGAACCUAUCCAUCAGCGGGGGAUAACACUUGGAAACAGGUGCUAAUACCGCAUACGGCUUUUUUUCACCUGAAAGAAAGCUCAAAGGCGCUUUACAGCGUCACUGAUGGCUGGCCCCGCGGUGCAUUAGCCAGUUGGUGAGGUAACGGCUCACCAAAGCAACGAUGCAUAGCCGACCUGAGAGGGUGAUCGGCCACACUGGGACUGAGACACGGCCCAGACUCCUACGGGAGGCAGCAGUAGGGAAUCUUCGGCAAUGGACGCAAGUCUGACCGAGCAACGCCGCGUGAGUGAAGAAGGUUUUCGGAUCGUAAAGCUCUGUUGUCAGCAAAGAACAGGAGAAAGAGGCAAUGCUUUUUCUAUGACGGUAGCUGACCAGAAAGCCACGGCUAACUACGUGCCAGCAGCCGCGGUAAUACGUAGGUGGCAAGCGUUGUCCGGAUUUAUUGGGCGUAAAGCGAGCGCAGGCGGUGAUUUAAGUCUGAUGUGAAAGCCCCCAGCUCAACUGGGGAGGGUCAUUGGAAACUGGAUCACUUGAGUGCAGAAGAGGAGAGUGGAAUUCCAUGUGUAGCGGUGAAAUGCGUAGAUAUAUGGAGGAACACCAGUGGCGAAGGCGGCUCUCUGGUCUGUAACUGACGCUGAGGCUCGAAAGCG